UACUCUUGUUUUUCUUCAGAUCGUAUAAAUCUUUCGCCUUUUACUAAAGAUUUCCGUGGAGAGGAACAAUAAGAGUUUAAUCUAAUUUUUUGAUGCCCUGCUGAAAAGUGGGGCU
ensembl:snRNA U5 U5 spliceosomal RNA